CUUUGACGUUUGCUUUGGCAAAAUGACAAACUUUAUUGGGUGUGGUGUCAUUAAACUAAUAAAUCUCAAGAGGGCGAACUGGCACUCGCUGUCUUUGUCCUUUCAUACUGUAGUGAUCACAUGUUGUCAGCCUGUUUUGUGUGUCACUCUGCUGUGUUUCAGGAGCCAGAGUGGGAUGUCAGCAGCGCAUUUGUGGCCAACGCCGCCAGCCACAUCAAACUCAAAGGCCUGAAGAACAGAGCAACACAGAUCUCCAGAGAAAACGAGGAGAACGAGGCCCGGAGCAGCCAGACGGAGAGCACAGAAGAAAUGAAGAGGAGGGGCGAGUCUCUGACAGUGCAGGGCAUUCAGAUGUUCGAGCAAGGCCAGUACAUCCAAGCGGUGGACAUGUUCACAGAAGCCAUCUACUGCAACCCCAAGGACCACAGGUUCUAUGGAAACCGCUCCUACUGUUAUUGGUGUCUGGAGCAGUACUCGUCCGCCCUCGCAGACGCUCAGAGGUCCAUUCAGCUGGCUCCCGAUUGGCCGAAGGGGUACUUCCGUAAGGGGUGUGCUCUGAUGGGGUUAAAGCAGUUCAGUGAAGCAGAGGCGGCCAUGGAGCGGGUGUUGAAGUUGGAUCAGCUCUGUAAGGAAGCCUCCAGUAAACUCCUCUCCUGCCGCGUCCUGCAGCUCACGGAGCUGGGCUUCGAGGAGGAGCAGAGUGAAGCGCUGCUGGAGAAGUUCACCACCGUUCAGGCGGUCGUCACCUCACCAGAGGCCCAAAGUAAGAGCUCAGCCGCAGCCCCGCUUGUGUCCACACGGGGGCAGCACCGCUCUCUGUUCCAGUCACGUCACACAUCAACAGCAGAGACCGCAACACUUAUGUGUAAAGAUUAUUAAAUACAUGGACAGUAAGAUAUGAACAGCACACUGCUGCAAAGAAAGGGGCAGAGAAAUAUGUAGUUUACAGAGUAGAAUAUAUUCAGUAUGUUGGAUAUGAAGAUGUAUCAGCAAUCUGGACUAAAGCAGACAUGCUGCAUGAACUGUAGAGUCCAGUGGGAGUUUAUUGUUUAUUGAUAUGAUGUUACAGUAAGUAAGUGCUGUGUCAGCACAUUAGUGUACUUUACAGCAGACCACAGUGGUUCAUCGUUGUAAAUACAUCUCAUUGAUGCUCUGUUUUUGUUGUUUUGUCCUUCCAUGAUGUCCACUUCCUGUCUCCUCUUUACUUCCAGCACUGAAGGACCAGAGUGGGAGCUGUCGCUCUCUGUGGGUCGGGAACAUCACAUUGGAAGUGACAGAGAAAGACGUCUUGGACGUCUUUAA